AAACAUUAUGAUUGUUGACUGGUUGUGAAUGAUAUCAUGAAGACUUCAGGAGUAUCUUUGUGGGUUUUGUUGUUCAUCUGGAUAGGUGUCUCCCUAACCACGUGUCUGGCAUUACCAUUAGAAUUCAACGAACCACUUAACCAAUUUCCAUUUCAACUGAAUAAGUACCCUAUAAAAGACAGAUUUAUUACCAAUGGGAAACUUAGCAUUACACAAUUUCCUAUUAAAAUGCGAAAAGACACAUCAGAAAAGUACCCAAUCAAAAUGGACAUUGAUUUUACUUUGGAACAGUACCCAAUCAAAAUGGAUUAUUUCAUCGGACAGUACCCAAUUAAAAUGCGACAUUACAUGGAGCAGUACCCAAUCAAAUUGGGCCAGUACUUGGAACAGUAUUCAGCUCUACAGAAUGUCUUUCAAAAACAAAGACGUACAACGUGGUUAGACGUCAUUCUACAGAAGCUAAUGAUGAAAAAUCAACUGUCUCGAUAUCCCAUAAAAAUGGACAUCUAAUUACAGCAAAUAAUCCCGUAAGGAAUCUCUGAGCCAAUAAAGAAAAAAUAAUAAAUUC